AAAGGUGAAAAAAUGGGGAACAAAGGGAACAAAUAUGUUUUUCCCUUUGUUUCCCUUUUUUUAA
rnacentral:ribozyme from 1 species